UACGGAGGGUGCGAGCGUUGUCCGGAAUCACUGGGCGUAAAGGGCGCGUAGGCGGCGCGGGUAGUCAUCGGUGAAAGUUCAGGGCUCAACUCUGAAUCGGCCGGUGAUACUCCCGUGCUCGAGCACUGUAGAGGCAGGUGGAAUUCCGGGUGUAGCGGUGGAAUGCGUAGAGAUCCGGAAGAACACCGGUGGCGAAGGCGGCCUGCUGGGCAGUGAGCUGACGCUGAUGCGCGACAGCGUGGGGGAGC
rnacentral:rRNA from 1 species